ACUCACCCGAACCGCGCCCCCCGCCCGCGGACGAGCGCACGUGAGCGCGCGCCGCGCUGUUUUCUAAGAUUAGCUCGGCGGCUUCGGUGGGGUCGCGCGAGGCAGCUGCUAGAGGCGGUGCUCUGUCAAAAUGAGUGAUUAACCAAGAGGAAGGCCUCAGAGCCUGGAAUCAGGGGCUCCAGCUAGUUGCAAAGGAAUAAAGCUUGGGUGUUGUAUUAGUCAGCUUGGGCCGCUGUAGCAAGAUGCCACGGCCUGGGUGGCUUGAACAACAGAUCUUUCUUCUUCUACGGUUUUGGAGACUGGAUGUCCAAGACUCAGGGGCCACAAAGUUGUUUGCUGAUGAGUUUCUGCAUUCAGAAUCCAGACACAAGCUCUCCACGGGGAAGUACAUGCACUGUGCUUACUUUAAGGGGAGAGAGUGUCCAUCAUCUCACACCCAGGAGAUCUACGGUAACCACCAUGUCCGCGACUUAGUUGUUGGAAGAGUCACCUCUGUAGUCCUCCAAGGCAGCAUGGUGCCUGAGAGGCCUCAAUGUCCCCUCUUGUCAAGUGGGUUGAUCACAAAGGCCCAAGGGACACCGUUGGCAAGAAGACGAAGCCCAUGAGCUACAGCGUCGGGACGCCGGGUUCAGAUCUCCAACUGCCCGAGGGGCUUCCGCAACAUGAGGUCGUGCGGCUGGCCUGCUGUCUCCCUUGGUGACUCGGCCGACUUCCUGGAAGGCAGUGGCCCUGUCUUGUUUUAGCCCCGUCGUCUGCAACGGCACCUGCGCUGUCAGAGGCACAUGGACGCAGGGCGAAAGAAUGUCUGGAACAUUCGCUGCAACUAACUUUUCCUUUUUUCAAGAUUUUAUUUAUUUAUUAUUUAUUAUUAGAGAGAGAUUGAGAGAACGAGUGGGAGGAGGGGCUGCGGGAGAAGCAGAUUCCCUGAGCAGGGAGCUCGACACGGGACUCGAUCCCAGGAUCCCGGGAUCCUGACCUGAGUGGAAGGCAGACGCUUAAACGACUGAGCCACCCAGGCGCCCAAACCUAACUUUUUCAAUGUAAAAAAAAAAAAAACCACACACACACACACACACACACGAAGAUCUAGCCAUGACUUUCAAAACUCUCGUGCCUUUGGCAGCAAAAAUCUUGAUUCCAAAAAAAUUUAACCUAAGCCCCAAGGUAAAUAAAAGAAAAGCAGCACACCUACGUAAGGUUGCCAGGUUAGUAAGUAAAAAUACGGUUAAGUCUGAAUUUCAGAAAAGUGAUUUUUAAGGUAUAAGUAGAUCCCCAAACUGCAUGGGACAUACUCAAAUUUUUUUGUUUGUCUGAUAUCCAGAUUUAACUGAGUGUCUUAUAUUUUGACUGGUGACUCUCUGCCUGGGCCUGCGCCCACAGGGGACCCUGGGCUCCUUGGGGCUGUGCAGUCCUGUUUAGGAACCUUUGUUUUAGGAAAAGCCAUGACACCAUAUUGUUUUCCUUCUCCCCAAAGCUGCUCCCCAAAGCAGGGCUGAGGCCUCCUCCCCCAGGAACCGUGCCUGGAUCCUGGGUGUCCAUGCGGGUCGCAGGCAGUGAGGAUAGGCUGUUGCCAAAAAUGGGUCAAAAUAACUCGAUUAGCAGCCUCAUUUACGACAAAGAGCUAUGCCUGUUCUCCCCCUGAUUUUAAGUCCAACACGGGUUACUUCACACCUUGUUUUCACUGAAACCUUGACUCUUGCUGACAGACUGUUGUGCGAAGGCGUGUGACAGAGCCGCACUGUUGUGCUUCCUCCUUCCUCCUUCCUGCUUCCCAGCUCCAUCCUUCUGGGGCCCACACCGGAGCACCCUCUUCCAAGCCAGUCGGCUGGCGUGGUUCUGCUGGUGGUUUCUGUGGAACCAAUGAGGAGACGGUAAGCACAUGCAUACCUCUCUCUCUUUAUGCCCCCUGAGAAAAGCAGUGAAGGGGCUCCUUAGAGAAUCAAGUCAACCCCUAAAGGCCUUCCAGAUUAAUUCACUUUGUUUUUUCUUUUAAAUCUUGGUUUUUAAGAUUUUAUUUGUUUGUCAGAGACAGCACGAGCAGGGGGAAAGGCAGAGGCGGUGGAGGGAGAAGCAGACUCCCCACUGAUCAGGGAGCCUGAUGUGGGGCUCUAUCCCAGGAUCCUGGGAUCAUGACCUGAGCCAAAGGCAGAUGCUUAAUGACUGAGCCCCCAGGCACCCCCAGAUGAGUUCAUUUUGGUGAGGGAGCAGGUGAUUCUCAGUAGACAACGUUUGUUGAUUUUUGCCUGCCCACAUUAGAGUUCCCUUCCGAGUCAGGGUAUCCACUGCUGUAUGGUCUCAGGGAGGGACAGACAGUCCUCUAGGCCUGUGCGUGACCCAGUCUCGGCUCAUGGAAUGCUCAUGGUCUGGGCUUUGACCCUCAAGGGACAGACAGACAGCUAGAGGCGAUGUGUAGCCGUGGCGGUGGGGUCAAGAGUCAGCCAUCCACAGCACUGGUUGCGGCACCUUCAUAGGCGUCCUGACCAGCCCGAGUGUCUGUGACUGUGUUCUCUGCUGCCGGACCUCCCCUGGCAGUGCCCUGCCCACUGCCCUGAACCUGGUUUGCCAGGCCUCUAGUCAGUUCUCUGAAUCAUCCAGUGUUCUUUCCCUUCAGCUCAUUAAGCAGGCUGAGCUCCUGCUGUUUGCACAAGAGCACUCUCAGGUAGGGCAUCGGGCCUCGCCCUCACUGCUCCCUUCCUUGGUGCCCUGGCAAGUGUGGACACCCAGUCAGAGAUACGCCGAUUCCGUGCAGGCCCUGGCCCAGACCCCCUUGAUCUGAAACACCAUGGGCCCUGGACG
rnacentral:lncRNA from 1 species